rnacentral:misc_RNA from 1 species
AAAUAAUAAUAAUAAUAAUAAAUCCUAAGCCAAAAGCCAGAAAUUUUUGUCCUCUUGGUGGUGAUCAAAUAGCCUCCAAGCUUUUUGCCCUUCCUCCUCACUGCAAUUGUCAUGCAUGAAGAAUUUUGGAUACAGUACUCCACUGCUCCGCCACCAUUCCUCUUCCCAGCCCACCGCUUCAUUAGCCGCCACAUUAUCGGCCGUUUUCUCUGCCCUAAAACCAGCAGCGACACCCUUUGUUGCUUUGCUUCUUCCACUACGAUCGGACCCUUUUCUUUCCCUUCACGGAUAGCUACCUCUACUUGCACCCCAGGCCUUUUCUUUUGACACAAAUUUUUCAUAGAGUGAAGAAGUUCAUAAGCCCUUAAAUUAACCUUUAAUUUGCACUCAGCACCCUGCUUGGAACUGGGUGGUUUGCCAACGUACAGAAGAACAAUGGUAUCUUGGCUUUGAACUGUGUGAGACAGUGCCCAUUCAAGAGCUCCCUUGGCUUCAAGGCUAAAAUCUACCAGCACCAUAACCUUGUUGCCAUUUCUAUACCCAUCCUCACCACCAAAUUCCUCCAUUCCACUUCCCAAAAAUUCAAUCUUUUGAUCAUUGUCCACAGAAUUUGAAGUGGGUUUGCCACGAACAGACGGGGAACGAACCCGAAUACGAGCCACGGACCUGCUGAUGGAAAGCUUGGGCGAUCUGGUUAGUGAUAAAGCCAUAAUUUUGAGCACAAUAGUUUUGGUGGGAAACUGAGCAAUAUAUAUACAAGUUGUAAAGCAGCAGUGGUGGCGUCCCGGCGGUUGGUUGCUUCGAUAUCAAAGUCUAGCUUGUUAAUCAAUUGGCGUUGUGUUUCUUGAGAAUUCUAUGUGGGCGGCCUCUUCUUCAACGUGCUUACCAUGUUGUUAUGGACCAUUUGACACAAUUUCUUAAAUGGUUAAUCAACCUAUUGCAGGCAUGAGACAUGGCUCUCAUGCCUGCAAUCAUUGACUUCAGUGAUAUGUUCUGUGUAUAUAUUAUUCUUCAACUAACUAAUAAAAUACAAAAUUUAAAGAAAGAGAAUAUAGAGAGCAGAAAUUUAUAUCCUUUGCAUAAGGAGAUAAGAAUUUUGAUAAUUAAUAUUUUUUUCUCUUAUGAUUCAUUCCUGUGCCAUCACACGUGGAUAGUAUGGUCAACUCUGUUUUUUUUUUUUAACUAUUAAAUUCUCAAGAGAAAAUAUUAAAUCUCACAAAUCCACGUCAAUAUCAUAUUCAAUUUUUUUUUCUUAUUUACCAAGAAAUUAUAUAAAUAGUAGUGAUAUUUUAUAUGGGAUGACAAUCUAAUACUGAGUGGACAUACAUAUUGAUGUGAGUCCUAAUAAAUAAAUAUUUAUAUAUGAGUAGAUCUAAAAAUUUAUAAUUACCUUGCAAUUUUUUUUUAAUAAUAAUUAUAUUUACAUAUAUAUAUAAUUAUUAUUUAUUUACCAUUCAAUAUCAAAUGCUAGAUUUACACCUUUUAGGUACAUGCAAAAUAUAUAUAUGGUGUGUGUGCGUGGGGGGCCUCCAAGUGGGAGCCUAAACAACUAAAACUCAUUGGUUAUACAUAUUUAUGUUAGUACAAUAUAUAAAAAGAGGAAUACAUAUACAGAGUGAUAUAUGGAAAAUGCCAUCCGAUUGAAGCUUCAAAAUACAUAAUCGAAACUUAAUAUAUGGCAAAUGCUCUAUCAACAAACUGAAAAUAUUUUAAACUUGCCUACGUUAUAAAUAGGAGUCCCUUACCAAUCGAACCCACCUGCCCACAUCUUACUGCGUAUAGGCCAUCAAAAUUUUCAUUACUCGUUCAGGUGGGGAAGCAUCCAAGCAGGAAGAAUUGCAUUACCUCGAUGUUGGAUUGGAGUUGUUUCAUCCUCACCUCUAUUGCCUCUGAUGUUCAAGGACUGCGCUGUAACAGUAGAUGAAUCUACACCAUGAUUUUGUUGCUCCAUUUGUGUCUGCUGAGCCAUUUCCUUCUCUUUCUCCUUGACCUGGUUUUGGUUCAAAGCAUCAUAUUACUUCUGAUUAGGAGGAAUAAUACAUAAUUUGGAGAAACUGAGAAAGUGUAGAAACAUCACCUUCUUUGCAAAUUGGUUGUUUUGCUCCUGCAAUGCCUUGCUCUAUAAAGAAAGACAAAUGAGUUGUCCAUAGAUAGAAUUAAACUAUUGCAAAUCACAAGUUUAUACCAUUUUCUCCGACGCCUUCCGCAAUGAAAAAAAAGAAAAACAACUAUAUCAACACUGCAUGGGUUUAUGAAAAUAAGGACAGUUGGGGCUCACCUUCUUCUGCAACUCUGCAAUGGAUUCAUACAUCAAUUGGUUCUUUCUUGACCUUAUGUGUUUAAGAGCAGAAUCAAUUUGUUGCUCCAAACUCUGAAGCUCUUUGAGGCUCAAGGUGUCGAGAUCUCUCCCCAUGAAAUGCCUGCAAACGUAAAGUUGAAAGUGAAAUAUUCCAUCUUGUUUUUCCAGUUGUUCCUGCACAAGAAACUUGCAGCAAUUAAUCUUUUAUCAGAUUUUAUGUCCAUGCCUUUGGUUUCUUUGUAAAACCUCCAGUCUAGCCUUCAACUUCACAUAUUCCAGAGUCCAGCUACCCUGAAAAUAUAGAUCACAUCAUCUGAUAUUUUCUUGAUAAUUUCAAUAAUACAAGAAAAGAUGCAAAAGUCGAUUAACAAAAGAGGAGAUGAUAUUCUUUCUGAUAUGGAUCCAAACCAAAUAAUUGUGUUCUAACCAUGGCAACACUACCCUUGUUUCUGAUUCCAGUAUAAUAAUCAAUUUUAUUUGAAAUAAAAGGCAUGCUUGGUGAGCAAAGACAGUUGGAGGCACGAUUCUGCAUCAUAUACAGGACUGAUCUUUUACUUGGGAACUCAUGUAGCUAGUAGAUGGGAGCGUACAUUUGUUUCGGUAUCAGUUGCAACAAGCUGCCUCUCUGCAUAUGAAUAUCUCUCAUAACGUUCCAGGAUCCUUUCCAUGCUGGAAUCAGUAGAGUAUUCAAAAAGCUUCCCUUUGGUGGAGAAGACGAUCAAAGCAACCUCAGCAUCACAAUUUUUCCGUUCAAAGUUCGCCAAAAUACUACG